AGUUGUAACCGAUAGACUGGGCUGGGGCAACGCUGAUGAAAGGCAAAUUCCUGAGAGAAAAAUCACCCAGAUUUUUCAGUGCCUUCUCUAGCUUUCUAGAAGUUGUUAUGAGUGGACCUGACUACCUAGAGAGAGUAAUACAGAAGCUCCGUGCCGAUCACAGCUACCUCAUUACCAUGUUCCUCCAAGAUGGCCGCCCCUGAGGAGAAUCAUCAACUGGGCUUUACGGAAGAGAGAAAUCCAAACGACCAUCAGCAACAAAUGAAAGACUGAAGUUGAAAGUUUCAAGAUUGUCAAGAAUGACGAGUUGGACUUGGUCUAGUUACUUCCACAGCAGCAGGAGGAACAUGUGUGUGACUCAGGAUAACUGGGGAAGCCUUGGCUAGGCUUUCCUCAUGUCAACCUACCACUCAAAGGGAGAAAACCUCCUGAUCAGAGGAAAUCCAUAAUUUUUGAAUGCUGGCCGAGGUCUGUGACCUCUGACUGAAUGGUUUCCAAGCUCCGAAUUCCUAGGUGAUGUUUUCAUUUGUUCACACUUGCUGAAGAAGGGAAAGGCUCUCUGAUUUACGUGUAAGCAAAACAAUCUAAACAGUAGGAUAAAAUCAUGUUGGAAUGGAGUUCUGUGUGGAUGCUCCUUUGAACCAAAUCAGUUCCACAACUGACCCUGUCAGGGACAUAUAAAUUUAGCAUUUUGGUGUGGAUACAGAAGACGAGAUUAACACAGAUCAAGUAACAUGGAAAUAAAAAAGGAGACAAUGCUGGAUGAUACAGGGGCAGCCAACAAGAGGAGAAAACCCAAGCAUUGGCAAAUGCCUCAUUAUCCAAAGAACACUCCUUAUACUCCUGAGAAUUUGUGGCAGUCCUGGGUUAAACGAUGAAGGCUUCUUAUUCUCAUGUAGGUCUCACAGCCUCUUGUCUCCCUGAGUUUUAAACACAUUGCAUUACCUUUCCAGAGGUAAAAGAAAGCCUGAGGAGGCUUUCCCCUCUGAGUUUUUCCGUGGAUUGCUGGACUCUGAGGCCCUCAUUCCUCUUGCAGGAGGUGUGGAGCAAAACUGUGUUGAAUGAACUGUAGAUGGAAAUUCUCUCCUUCCCACCGAGGAGCCGCUGCAGGUUGCAGACUCCCAGAAUGCCACACUGAGAAGAGGAGGGCUAAAAUUCUAGAGCAGAAUCCCUGGGGCAGCCCCUGCUGAAGAAGGGUGCAUCUGUUGAGAAUCUCAUCACCGCCCCCACCCCGCCCAGCCUUCAAUUUAGAGGAAUUUCUAGUUCACGCAGAAUGAAGACAAGAUCACAUAAGUGAGGACGACGCCCCAUUUACAAGUGUGAUUUGGAAGACUGAAGUGGAAACCUUGGGAAGGGGCCUCAGAGUAUGUCAGCUGGGGUCAGACGGGAACAGGAGUCUGGCUCAACACACAUUUAUUGCACUCCUGUUUCAUGCCAAGAAAUGUACCAAAAUCUGGGACUGUGUAACACAGCAAAGGAAAAGACUCAUCUCCAGGAAGCCCCCUUGUCUAGGAAGAGAAAUUGAAUAUCAGCAUAAGGUGGUGAAAAGCUGUGAAGGAGAUGAGUGCCAGGAGUCCAUGGAGGAAGGAUUCUAGCCUGGACAGAGUCUCCAUGAAUUGCAAGGGAAAACAAGUGGUACACUGGUAUUUCUAUUUGAUAACCUGUUCUCUUUGGAAUUCCGGUUAGAAAUCAAAGGCUUACUUGAGUUUUAAUGCUUUCGGGACUUCAAAUGCUUUUCUAUCUUCCUAAUAAUAUAUUAACAUUUUCUGAAGACAACAUAUAUGUGGAAAACAACAUUAUUUACUCAAAUAAUUUUUUUUGAAAAAUGGACCAAAAAAAAAGAAAAACCAACAA
ensembl:lncRNA LINC01206 long intergenic non-protein coding RNA 1206